rnacentral:lncRNA from 1 species
UUCACCUUUCUUAUGGCAAGAUAAGCUAGUCAUUGUUUCGCCCUAUAUCCAUAACAAACAAAAAAAUCACAAAAGAAAACAUUUCUUCAGAAAAAAACUUUAAAACUUUCCAUUUAACUUAGAGAAAACUGGCAAAAUAUUUGCUUUAGUAUUUUCAUAAUUUGAGUUUAAAAUUUAUAUGUGCAACCGCUGCCUUGAUCUAGCUUCCUCCU